GAUGAACGCUAGCGGCAGGCCUAACACAUGCAAGUCGAGGGAGAAGCCCUUUCGGGGGCCGAAACCGGCGCACGGGUGCGUAACGCGUAUGCAACCUACCUUUCACAGGGGGAUAGCCCGAAGAAAUUUGGAUUAAUACCCCAUAAUAUUAUUUGAUGGCAUCAUUUGAUAAUUAAAACUGCGGUGGUGAAAGAUGGGCAUGCGUCCUAUUAGCUAGUUGGAGUGGUAACGGCACCCCAAGGCUACGAUAGGUAGGGGUCCUGAGAGGGAGAUCCCCCACACUGGUACUGAGACAGGGACCAGACUCCUACGGGAGGCAGCAGUGAGGAAUAUUGGUCAAUGGUCGGAAGACUGAACCAGCCAUGCCGCGUGCAGGAAGAAUGCCUUAUGGGUUGUAAACUGCUUUUAUAUGGGAAGAAUAAGGCGUACGUGUACGUUGAUGACGGUACCAUAUGAAUAAGCAUCGGCUAACUCCGUG
rnacentral:rRNA from 1 species